CUGGGACUGCAGGCUCAUGCCACCACAUCUGGCCAGGUUCCUGUCCUUUUUAGUACUUCUCAGACACAACCAGUGCUCUCUGAGGUCAAUAGAGAAGUCUGGUACGUAGAAUGCAUCCUUCCGGCAUUCCCUAGGGAAAUCAAGCAUCCUUGAGACUUUUUAGUGAAGUGGGUGAGCACCUCUUUCAGCCCCUGCUCAGGAUUCCCAAACUGCAGGCAUCCAAGCCCGCCGAAUCUCUAGUCCUCUUCCCUGGUUUGAGCUCAUGGGGCCUGAGAGAAUUUGAUAUCUUGGAGGUCCUGUUGCCUGGUCUGGUGGGAAGAGCACUGGGUUCAAAGUCAUGAUUUGGGCUCAGAUCCCAGCUCUGCCUCCUCCCAGAUAGGUGAGCUAGGAUAAGUCAGGUGAUCAUUCUGAGCCUUAAUUUUCUCAUCUAUAAAAUGGGAGUAGUAACUCCUAGUCUUCCAGGUGGUUAUAAAGACGAAGUGAGAUUAGAGAUG
rnacentral:lncRNA from 1 species